UUAGGUUAAGUUAUGAAGGGCGCAUGGUGAAUGCCUUGGUACUAGGAGCCGAUGAAGGACGGGACUAACACCGAUAUGCUUCGGGGAGCGGUAAGUACGCUUUGAUCCGGAGAUUUCCGAAUGGGGAAACCCAAUCAGCUUAGUCGCUGAUUACUUGACUAGUGAAUACAUAGCUAGCAAGAGGUAGACGCAGUGAACUGAAACAUCUUAGUAGCUGCAGGAAGAGAAAGAAACAUCGAUUCCCUGAGUAGCGGCGAGCGAAAAGGGAAGAGCCCAAACUAACAAGCUUGCUUGUUGGGGUUGUAGGACUGAACAUUAGAGUUACCAAAGUGCGACGUAGUCGCAACAGUUGGGAAGCUGUGCCAUAGAGGGUGAAAG
rnacentral:rRNA from 2 species